rnacentral:tRNA from 1 species
GUUUCUGUAGCUCAGUUGGAUAGAGCGUUCGCCUCCUAAGUGAAAGGUCGUGGGUUCAAUUCCCGCCAGGAACACCA